rnacentral:lncRNA from 1 species
UCCUCUGGUGAGGCGCUCUAUGGCCUCGCUUCGGCGUUGGUGCGGUGGCCGGAUGCCUCGCUGGCGUCCUCCGACUCUGAGCCCUCUCCUGACCAUGGCUCGCUAGGGCCGGCGUUGGCUGCGAAGGCGGCGCAUCGUUCCAGGAAGUUUGCCCCUGGCGACCUCGAUCCCCGAUGGCUUCCCUCCAGUGAGCUCCCUUCCCCCUCCGCCCCUCCCUCCCUCCUCUGGUGCGCCGCUCUCUGGCCUCGCUUCGGCGGCGGCGCGGUGGCCUGAUGCCUCGAUGGCGUCCUCUGGAUCACGUUUUUGGGCGCUCGACGGCGACGGGGAUUCUUCCUCCGACUCUGAGCCCGCUCCUGACCAUGGCUCGCCGGGGCCGGCGCUGGCUGCGAAGGCGGUGCCCCGUUCCAGGAAGUUUGCCCCUGGGGGCAGGGGCAGGGCCGUGGCGCUGUCGGUGGACGUGUCUGGCUGGUAUCGGGUGCCCCGUCGGCAGCGUAUAUCUGGUAAGUUUUCCCUUCCGUCCCCAGCAAAGGGGAUCCUUGGUGCGCUGCCAUGUGUGGAGGGGUCGGGCGUCUCUGCCCUCAACCCUCCUGGUUCGCGGGGGGCCUCGCCUCCUCCAUCUCCCCUGGCCAUGGCGCCGUCGCCGUCUCGUCCGACGGGGGCUGGGCGGACGGCGGCUGGGUGUGCCCUAGAUCUGGCUCUGUCCUUGGAGGCUAGUGGGCUCCAGCGACCGUUGGGCCCUCUGUGUCUUGGGUCGGCCGUGGAUGGGCGGUUCGUGGCGUCUUCCAUUGCUUCGUGUCUGAUUUCCCCCUCCCUUCUAUGGGUCCUAGGUCGCUGGUGGUGGCCACUGAUCCUCCCCCUCCCUUCGUCCCGUGCGGCCUGCUCGGCCCAAGUGGGCGUUGCUCGCUCGGGCUAUAUAUGGGUCAGGGAGGGAUCCCUCCCGCAUUUUUAGGGUUUCCGGCCUCUGCUGCUGACCUUCGUAAACGUCGCGCCCCUAUCCGUCGCUUUUUCAGAUCUACUCCUCCUCCACUCCUCCUCUCGUUCGCGGAAGCCCUCGCCAUGGACAAGUCCAGCGGCUCCUCGAGCGAGGCGGUGUCGGACAGCAAGCACCGGCGCGAUGACUCUCCGGCCAUGGGUGUCGAUCUGGAGUACGAAGCCUCCCUCCGCUCCAAGAUGGAGGCUAAGUAGGCGGCUCGCGGACAGGUGGCUCGUGACCGCGUGGCGUGGUCGGUGGGCCCGGAAUGGCUCCAGCGCUAUGAGAGGGAGAGGUCACUGGCGGGAUCUGGCCCUCCGGCGUCCGGAUCUAGUGGUGGGGUGUCACCGGCGGUGGACCCUUGGGAGGUGGCGGCGUCCGGUGGUGUUGGUGGCUCAUCUUCCUCUUUGUCUGGGCCAGCCCACUUUAUUCAUUGCGUGUAGACUAUUUCGGGAGACUCCCCUUCCUGUUUUGGGAAGGUUCUUCCUAGCCCGGGGUUUUUUUUUUGUGUUUUCCCCUUUUAUUUUUUCUUCUGGUUUUCAUUUGUGGUUUUUUUAUUUUAUUUUAUUAUAUAGUCUUCUCAAAUACGGGAACAAGUUUUAAAUUAGUAAAUAUUUUCUGAAAUUUGAUUUUUUUUUAUUUCACAUUUUUAAAAAUUGGUACAUUUUUUGUAACCUCGUUACAUUUUCAAAUUUGUGAUAUUUUUUGAAAUCUCGGUUUUUUAAAUUUUCAACCUUUUUCAAUUUCGUGAAUAUUUUUCGAAAUAUGAGAACAAUUUUCACACUUUGUGUUUUUUGGAAUUUUGAACAUUUUUCAAACUCACGAACAUUUAUUAUUAUUAUUUUGAAAAAAAAAGGGGCAACCUGGUGCAUGUAGCUCCCGCUUGUGCAGGGUCCAGGGAAGGGUCCGACCACUUUGGGUCUAUAGUACGCAACCUUUCCCUACAUUUCUGUAAGAGGCUGUUUCCAGGACUUGAACCCAUGACCUCAUGGUCACAAGGCAGCAGCUUUACCACUGCGCCAAGGCUCCCCUUCUAUUAUUAUUAUUUUGAAAUUGUAAAUAUUUUUUAACGAUGUAAAAAACCCAAAAAAAGAAAAGAAAAAACCGAAAAAGAGGGGGCGCCCCGUAUUUACCUCAUUUUCAAAGAAAUUGAGCCGGUUCAUGUGAGAAGUGGGGUGAAACCCCCCAAUUUAUAUGGAAAGCUGAAUCGAAAAUCUUGAUCGAGUUUACGAGGAAACCCGGAUAGGAAAAACCUACAGCCCUAGUGGCAUAACAUCCUUCUAAAGCAAAAACAGUUGGUACUGUCGUCCGAGCUCAUGCGGCCGACAAGGGCGAGCAAGAAUCAGGUUGAAGAGAUCAGUGACUGAAAGUCCCGGAUCUCGUGCGACCGCGUCAUAUACACUAGAUUAUAAAGGCGCGCGUUGCCGCGCCCAUCCAUUUCAAUAGAAAAUGAAGAAUGAUAGAAAUACCUGCUGGAAUUUGCUGAGUAUAAAUAUCUAGAGAAUAUGAGUCUUUAAAAUUGCAAAACCUCAAAUCUACAUGUGAUCAAUAAUCACUACAGUAACCAAGGAGCAAUUACAUAAAAUAAUCCAGAGGUAAAGAAACAACCAAAUAUAGAACAUAGUAGUAGGCUGACACUUGCAACGAACUUCCGAACUUACAUAGAGCUUGCUAAAGUAAGUAGUAACAAAGGGUUUCAAGGGCACGGUUUAACAAAACAAAUGGGCAUACGUAAUCUGUUUGUAAAUUUGCAUAUAACCAAUAGAGAGCUAAUGCAUGAAUAUCAUGUAUGAAACUGUGCGCAGUACCUGAACUUCCCGAUCUUGCAAAUUAAGCUUCCUAGCUAUGACAUUGCGGCAAGCAAACAAUUAAGAUUUCAGCCUCCAGGAUUGAUGUCCAAAGUCAAAGAAUCUGGUACAAAUUUAAAAAUCAACAUUAACACCGUAGAUUGCAAAUAAGAUAAGGGCAGUCAAGAGGAUAAAGGAACAGCAGGAUCGUCUAAUCUCUGCAUUGACGAUGGCAUGGACUUUGUGAGACGAAGGGCAUUCAGGGAGCAAGGUGGGAUGCCAGCAGCUUUCACAGGAAUACCUUCGAAAUUGGUGAAGUCGCUUGGAAAAGUACUCAGGCCACUAAUAACACGGGCGGAAGUGGCGGGAGCGUAGCGCAGCCUUCCAGUUUGUCGACGGUCAAGCCUGAACGUCGUGGGCCGCUGCGUAGGGUUUGGACCAGCCCUAGUGCACUACACGAUUGUGCAUCGCCUACGCCUCUUACUCCUUUCCACCAAGCCGGAGAGAGAAGCGACGGCGCUGCCGCCGCCGCCGUCUGGAUAACACACCAUGAUUGCCUAGAGCGCCGUCACCACAGCAGGGAGAAAGCGGAGCAGGAAAGAGAAGGAUGGUGGCGUAGCGCUGAAAGCCAACUCUCCGCCGGUGCGCUGUCGUCCUCUUUGGCCACGGUGCUCUAUCGAAUCUCCUCCUUCCCCACAGCCGCCGCCGCCGUAUCAGACGCAUCGUGGGAAAAUGAGGCAUCGCCCAUCAUGGACCUUUUCUUUUUCAGAGCAGCCCACCACGGACUAACCACAGGCCACCAUAGUUGUUCUGCGGAGUAGCGGCCCGGCUACCGUGGGCCGAGCGGAUCGCGAGACUGUUACGUUGACAACUGGCUAGAAGUGAUCAGAAGCACGACCAGGAGAUCUAAGUCGUUUAUUAGUGCUAUCCGACGGUUAUGACAUCAAAUCGCUGUGAGAGGGCGUAGCUAGGCCCCUUUUACUGUUUCUUAAUGUACACGUCUGUUAGCUUUGUUUGUGCUUCACACUAGUACAAUAAUUUGCAGUUUAAACCCACGCCUUGAUUUCGUGAACACAUAGUAGAAUAUUCUUAUGUGUAGGAAUGAAUCAUUGUGUAAUUAUUCAGGUGUAUGGGGGUGGCUCAGCCUCUCAAAGAU